rnacentral:rRNA from 1 species
CCUACGGGGGGCAGCAGUGAGGAAUAUUGGUCAUUGGACGGAAGUCUGAACCAGCCAUGCCGCGUGCAGGAAGACGGCUCUAUGAGUUGUAAACUGCUUUUGUACGGGGGUAAAACGCGAUACGUGUAGCGGUUUGAAAGUAUCGUACGAAUAAGGAUCGGCUAACUCCGUGCCAGCAGCCGCGGUAAUACGGAGGAUCCAAGCGUUAUCCGGAUUUAUUGGGUUUAAGGGGUGCGUAGGCGGUUUCAUAAGUUAGAGGUGAAAUACCGAGGCUCAACAUCGGCACUGCCGCUGAUACUGUAGGACUAGAGAUCAGAUGCGGCAGGCGGAAUGUAUAGUGUAGCGGUGAAAUGCAUAGAGAUUAGACAGAACACCGAUUGCGAAGGCAGCUUGCCAGACUGCAACUGACGUUGAGGCACGAAAGCGUGGGGAGCAAACAGGAUUAGAUACCCGGGUAGUC